rnacentral:rRNA from 1 species
CUACGGGUGGCUCCAGUGGGGAAUAUUGCACAAUGGGCGCAAGCCUGAUGCAGCAACGCCGCGUGAGGGAUGAAGGCCUUCGGGUUGUAAACCUCUUUUAGCAGGGAAGAAGCGAAAGUGACGGUACCUGCAGAAAAAGCACCGGCUAACUACGUGCCAGCAGCCGCGGUAAUACGUAGGGUGCAAGCGUUGUCCGGAAUUGUUGGGCGUAAAGAGCUCGUAGGCGGUUUGUCACGUCUGCUGUGAAAAUCCAAGGCUCAACCUUGGACUUGCAGUGGGUACGGGCAGGCUAGAGUGCGGUAGGGGAGAUGGGAAUUCCUGGUGUAGCGGUGGAAUGCGCAGAUAUCAGGAGGAACACCAAUGGCGAAGGCACAUCUCUGGGCCGUAACUGACGCUGAGGAGCGAAAGCGUGGGGAGCGAACAGGAUUAGAUACCCCAGUAGUC